UUUGGCCUGAGUGAUGUAAUGUUGUUCCCUGCUGAUCUUUUACUAAAAGAUGUAGAUAAUUCUUUAUUUUCUCCUAUUGAUUUUAUAGGAGGUAAUUUCCAUGAUAGAGUAAAAGAAUCCGGAGAUAAUACAUUAAAUGAUAUGUCUUCAACAGAAGCAGUGGGAACUAUCAAGUGAAAAGAAAGGUCCUGUUAAAACAACGGUGCUCAUUAGAUUGGUAUUAGACAAUUGGUGUGAAAUUACAUAUCCAACAUAUGGCUUCAAGUCAUGAAUACGUCCCUCAUUGAUAGUACCUUCAUUGUUUGUGUAAUAGUUGAAACUGGGGAGGAUGGAGUAAUGAAGCUGAUAGUCAUCAUUUGAUAAAUUUUUCCAUGAACAAUCAAUAUCUGUAGAGCUGGCAGCGGAACACAUAAAAUUUAAAAGAGU